AUUGAACGCUGGCGGCAGGCCUAACACAUGCAAGUCGAGCGGCAGCGGGAAAGUAGCUUGCUACUUUUGCCGGCGAGCGGCGGACGGGUGAGUAAUGCCUGGGAAAUUGCCCAGUCGAGGGGGAUAACAGUUGGAAACGACUGCUAAUACCGCAUACGCCCUACGGGGGAAAGCAGGGGACCUUCGGGCCUUGCGCGAUUGGAUAUGCCCAGGUGGGAUUAGCUAGUUGGUGAGGUAAUGGCUCACCAAGGCGACGAUCCCUAGCUGGUCUGAGAGGAUGAUCAGGCACAGUGGAACUGAGAAACGGUCCAGACUCCUACGGGAGGCAGCAGUGGGGAAUAUUGCACAAUGGGGGAAACCCUGAUGCAGCCAUGCCGCGUGUGUGAAGAAGGCCUUCGGGUUGUAAAGCACUUCCAGCGAGGAGGAAAGGUUGAUGCCUAAUACGUAUCAACUGUGACGUUACUCGCAGAAGAAGCACCGGCUAACUCCGUGCCAGCAGCCGCCGUAA
rnacentral:rRNA from 1 species